AGAUGGAGUCUCGCUCUGUCGCCAGGCUGGAGUGCAGUGGCGCCAUCUCAGCUCACUGCAACCUCUGCCUUCGGGGUGCAAGUGAUUCUCCUGCCUCAGCCUCCCACGUAGCUGGGACUGCAGGCGUGCACCACCACGCCCAGAUAAUUUUUGUAUUUUUAAUAGAGACGGAGUUUCAACAUGUUGGCCAGGAUGGUCUUGACCUCUGCCUGCCUCAGCCUCCCAAAGUGCUGUGAUUAGAGGCAUAAGCCACCACGCCCGGCCUAAGUCUUCUAUAAGUUGGUUCUAAUAGACAAUAACCAAUAAGCAGCAUUAACAUUAUGAAAAUGUUGGUCCACAGCAGAGCUAAGCAGUUUGCUGGGCCUGAUUUUCCUGUGUAAUCACAAUGUCUCAACCCUGUGCUGUUCAGUUUCUCAAAAUCAUGGUUACUUUGUUGUUGUUGCUUUGCCUAGUACUUUUUUGUUGUUGAAAGAAAUCUGUGCCAUCUUACCCAUUCUAUUUUCUUGGAAUAUUUUUUUGAAAGCCCACUGAUGACUCAGUUUAACUCAUAUUUGUAUUGUGAUUUUCUUGUAGAGUCUUUUAGGAAAUAUAAUUUCUAGGUACUUUUCUUAUUUUCCUUUUCUUUGCCUGAAGUAUAUCUUCAAGUUCUUCCAACUGUAUAUUCCAUGAAAUACCUUUGUUUCCUGGAUCCCCCGUUCUUGCUCAGAUAUGAACUGGUGGCUUAGUCACCCACAAAACUGACAUUCUGAGUCACAUCUGCAGCUGCCUGAAUCCCAUGGCUUCCUCAGGAUACUCUGCUCUUUUACUGAUGGAGUACCUGCUCUAAUAACUCCUCCUUAAGAAAAGGUGUCUGGCAGGGUACAUCACUGUGAAAUCAAAAACAAGCAAGCAUGUACCCUUUGUCCUCAAAGGCUGGCAUGCAGGCCUAUGAACUUGGAAAGACAACAAAGCUUCUAGUAUGAUAAACAAAGAAAAUGGAGAAUAAAAAGUCUGAUUUCCUCUUCCUGGCAUCAGCAAAUACCAGCUGUCAGAGAGCUCUGAGUAAUCUACCCCUCCUAUUCCUAAAAGGUAAUUAAUAUUAAAACAUUGCCAAAAGGAGGUAUAUUUAGAUUUUCAAUUAAAAUGACACAAAUGAAGUGGCAAUGCAACAAAUAUGAGAGAAAAAUUUUAAAUUGUAGUAUUUAUAUUUGUGAUGUUUUUCCCAUCUAAUUCCACUCUCUCCAGUGGUCCCUGAAACAUCACCAGCAGGCUGACAUCCUGAUAAACUCUAAAAGGAAGGAAAACAUAAUCUAAAAGGCAGGGUGGGUGUGGCAGUUAGAGGUCACCACGAAAAAGAAGGCAAGUGCAGCUACUCAAGGGAUACAGAUAAGUCAUUAGGGUCAAGGGUUGAAGCGAAGUACAUGACAUUGCAGACUGCCCCUAUGGUAACUAAUGACAGACUUCUAGUAAAGGAAUAAAACCUUAAGGUUCUUUUGUUUAGCCCUUACUGCCAAACAAAGCAAGUUGUAAGACCAGUCCUAACAUUUCAUCAAGCAGCAGGAAGCUUCCUUCCAUUGGGAAAAGCUAAUAGAGGUGUCUCUUCAUACCUUCUUAUUACAAAAAAAAAAAGGGCCAGCUUUCUCCUGAUGUUUCUGCUAUUAGAGAAGAUUUGUAGGCCGGGCUUGGUGGCUCACACCUGUAAUCCCAGCACUUUGGGAGGCCA
rnacentral:lncRNA from 10 species